rnacentral:tRNA from 1 species
GCAGCCAUAGCUCAGCUGGAUAGAGCAUCAGACUUCGAAUCUGAGGGUCGGGGGUUCGAAUCCCUCUGGCUGCACCA